rnacentral:rRNA from 1 species
NNUGACCUCAGGUCGGGCGCGAGGACCCGCCGGAUUUAAGCNUAUCACUAAGCGGAGGAAAAGAAACUAACAAGGAUUCCCUCAGUAGCGGCGAGCGAAGCGGGAAGAGCCCAUGCCGAAUCCCCGGCCCCGCAAGUCUGCCGAGGGAAAUGUGGCGUAAGGAAGUCGGUCUCCGCGGUCGGUUCGUCGGCGCCGAGGUCCUUCUGAUCGAGGCCUCCGCGCGUCCCAGGGCGGGUGUCAGGCCUUCGGGCCGGUCCGGCCGCGGAAUUCGGAUGGCUUCCGGGAGUCGGGUUGUUCUGUAUUGCAGCCCCAAGGCGGGUNGUAAACUCCAUCCAAGGCUAAAUACCGGCACGAGACCGAUAGCGAACAAGUACCGCGAGGGAAAGU